AGUGAACGCUGGCGGUAGGCCUAACACAUGCAAGUCGAACGGCAGCACAGUAAGAGCUUGCUCUUACGGGUGGCGAGUGGCGGACGGGUGAGGAAUACAUCGGAAUCUACUUUUUCGUGGGGGAUAACGUAGGGAAACUUACGCUAAUACCGCAUACGACCUACGGGUGAAAGCAGGGGAUCUUCGGACCUUGCGCGAUUGAAUGAGCCGAUGUCGGAUUAGCUAGUUGGCGGGGUAAAGGCCCACCAAGGCGACGAUCCGUAGCUGGUCUGAGAGGAUGAUGCGCCACACUGGAACUGAGACACGACCCAGACUCCUACGGGAGGCAGCAGUGGGGAAUAUUGGACGAUGGGCGCAAGCCUGAUCCAGCCAUACCGCGUGGGUGAAGAAGGCCUUCGGGUUGUAAAGCCCUUUUGUUGGGAAAGAAAAGCAGCAGGUUAAGACCCCGCUGUUCUGACGGUACCCAAAGAAUAAGCACCGGCUAACUUCGUG
rnacentral:rRNA from 1 species